AUGUACAAGGCUGUUCCGCAGGGGUAUCUCCAUCAGUUCUCUUCGCCUACAUGCCUUUGUUCCUAUUUUAAGGUCACAUCUGAGCUGAAAAUGGUAGUGAGAGUUGGUGCAGCAGAAGUGAAUGUGAAAGAAAUUCGCAAUAGCUGUUGUCACAUGUGCUGCAGAAAGUUUAUGAUGCAGGAGUUCACCUCUCUUGAAGCUGGAAGACACACUGUCUUAAGUUACCAAGAAGUAGAUUUUGAAGCGAGGACUUACGUGAAAUGGUUUAUUAAGGAAGUGCUCUGAGGAAUAUUGAUGAGGGAGACUGCCUGGUAGCAGGACAGAGAAGGACAAGAAACCAAGCAGAGGUUAAUUUAAGUCCUACUUCACCCCGAUUCUACAGGGAUGCUCUUGAGUGAAAGAGAGACCUUACAGUUGCCCAAAACUGAGAGACGGAAACUGGGAUUCAAACUUCCCCGUAUCUUUGAGUUGUUGGCCAAAGUCCCUGAGCUCAGGCAGUACAUUCCCAGACAUACUGGGUUCCCAGCCCACAAGGGUCUCCAGCAGCACAAGGGCAGGCCUCUAAGAAACAAACCAGGCAAAGCAUAACUAAAGGCAGGGAAGGGAUACACAGCAGAGAAAAGGGACACAGAAACCAUGAUAUAUGACUGACUGAGCUAUACAGUAUUUGCCCAUAUUGUUACAAUAUUCUCAGGGAGAAACAAAUGUGAUCGUCAAAUAGUGUCUUGUGGAAAGGGGUAAAAUGUGUCUGUAUGGCCUCCAGAUAUUGAACAAAACCUCUAGGUGGAAGGACCUCAGAAAGGCUAGAAAUUCUCUGGACAUUUUCAGAGUUCCCUAUAGAUGUCAUAGCCUAUGUCAGUUGGCGGGAGCAUCUUUGUAAUCUGAUUCCUAGAUAUUUGGGGUCUUCCUGCCAAUAGAGCAGUGAGUUACGAUGUGGUUUCCCAAGCCCCCCCAAUUCUGAGCAUACUAGACAAUCAAGUUGUCAGACUUGAUUCUCUGAACAUAUUUUAAGGAGCGAGAAAACACAGAAUUUUAAACUUCCUUCCACAAAAUUGCACGUUUAUUAAAAUAAGGUAUUGUCUUAUCAAUUAUUUUCUCUGCAACCCUGUGCAUCACAUGUUCAAUCUUCUGGAACAGCUUAGGUCCAAGAUAACGUGUGACCAGAAGACAAACAAAAAAAAAAUUUUUUUUAAACCCACUUUUGUAUCUUCCCACUUUCUUGUUUGCUGUGCUAUGAAAUAAGUAAAUGGAAUCAAAUUAAAUCUCUUGAGAAGGAGGCCAGGACCUAAUCUGAAGACUUUCUGAGAAAGAACUUUCAUUCUUUUAUGCUCUCUUUCCACUGUAUUUUUUUUUAGAAGAAAUAUUUCUAUACUGGUAAGCCUGUAAACAUGAACAUUUCAGAUUUGGAGAAUGGGCCUCUAACGAAAGAUUUGAGGGACUUUGGCAAAAUGUAGGAAAAGGGAAAUUUCCUCACUCUGAUCAAAGAUGCCAAGCACUACCAUUCUGAGGUGCCUUUACCUUUAAAACUUAGGCAAAUGGGGCAGUCAGAAUUUGAGAGAGACAGGGACAACCAUUUUCUGUUUCUAAUGGUCCAUGUCCAAUCCUUCCAACUGAGGCUUUAUCAAAUUUUUUUUUUCUAGAGAGCAGAAAAUCCUCACUAGCAGGAGCUAUUUAAAGGCUCUGGCCUUGCAUUGAAACUGCAGAUUUGGCAAUGGCAGGUUUCAGCUGGAUUUUCUGGGCAGUAAGUAAUGCAGCAGCAAAUUUACUCUUUUUAAUAUAAUGGCAACAGUCGUUGGAAGGAAUGGGAAUGACUUCAGGCAGUGCCCAAUUUUAAAUGAAAAAUCUAACUAUAGCUGUUCCUUUUACUCUCUCUGAGAGCUCUGCGUGAUUGUGUGGGAAGCAGGGGUGAAGGGUGACCUCAGCAUGCCUGCUUUGGAGACUAGCUCAAGGGAUAGCAUAGGUCAGCUUGCCCCACACCUGGUCCCUGGGGAGGAUUUGUGUGUGACAAUGGGAGCAGCAAGGAAUUUAAAAGCAACUUCACUGCGCUGAACCCUUGUAGAGCUGGUAUCAUGGAGGGAGGUUUACUCUUUGAUCUCAGCCCUGGAGCGAUGGCAUGAGAAAGAAUCACUGAGUUAUCAAGUAAGUACCUAACUUAGUGUGGAAGCCAGGCAGCAUGCUCUCAUGGACCUUUCUGGAUCCCAUACCGGGCAGGGGUGAGUCACUGAUGGAGCAAAGGAGACAUCACCACACGAAUCCAUCAUUUUCUAAGUGAGGGGAAACAGCUGCUUCCUUUCACUGUUUUUUUUUUUUCCCCACUCAACAAUCUUCUAUCCCCUGACUUGCCAUUUCGAUUCCACCUCAUAAACGAAUCUUUCUACAAAAGCAGACUCCUUUAGUGUAUAAUAAAGUAUAUCUCAGGUAAUCUCUACCA
rnacentral:lncRNA from 1 species